rnacentral:rRNA from 1 species
UACGAAGGGUGCAAGCGUUAAUCGGAAUUACUGGGCGUAAAGCGCACGUAGGCGGCUCUUUAAGUCGGGGGUGAAAUCCUGGAGCUCAACUCCAGAACUGCCUUCGAUACUGAAGAGCUCGAGUCCGGGAGAGGUGAGUGGAACUGCGAGUGUAGAGGUGAAAUUCGUAGAUAUUCGCAAGAACACCAGUGGCGAAGGCGGCUCACUGGCCCGGUACUGACGCUGAGGUGCGAAAGCGUGGGGAGCAAACAGG